rnacentral:misc_RNA from 1 species
UUUCCGUAGGUGAACCUGCGGAAGGAUCAUUAAUGGGAAAUCAAAUCAAAUCAAAACAAAUGUUCUGUUGCACUGGGUGUGCUGUGUGGUGGUGGUGUUAGACAUGGAGAUUCAAUCAUUGGAGAUUCAAUCAUUGGAGAUUCAAUCAUUGGAGAUUCAAUCAUUGGAAUUUCAAUCAUUGGAGAUUCAAUCAUUCAAUCUCAAUCAUCGCCACACAACACAACUAUCUAUCACACUCGAUCAACAACAACACACUCACACACAACAGCAAACAACUUUUAACAAUGGAUCUCUUGGCUCUU